AGCGAACGCUGGCGGUAGGCCUAACACAUGCAAGUCGAACGGCCGUACAGUAAGAGCUUGCUCUUACGGGUGGCGAGUGGCGGACGGGUGAUGAAUACAUUGGAAUCUACUUUUUCGUGGGGGAUAACGUACGGAAACUUACCCUAAUACCGCAUACGACCUACGGGUGAAAGCAGGGGAGCCUCGGUACUUUCGCGAUUGAAUGAGGCGGUGUCGGAUUAGCUAGUUGGCGGGGUAAAGGCCCACCAAGGCGACGAUGCGUAGCUGGUCUGAGAGGGUGAUCGGCCACACUGGAACUGAGACACGGUCCAGACUCCUACGGGAGGCAGCAGUGGGGAAUCUUCGGCAAUGGGCGCAAGCCUGAUCGAGCCAUGCCGCGUGAGUGAUGAAGGCCUUCGGAUCGUAAAGCUCUGUUGUUGGGGAAGAAAAACUGCGGGAGUAACUCCCGCUGUCUUGACGGUACCUAAAGAGAAAGCACCGGCUAACUACGUG
rnacentral:rRNA from 1 species